CCCGGGUGGAGGUUGGCUUGACUAUGAAGACAGGGGCUCUUUCCACCAUCUCCUGAGGAAGGCCCACGUGAAGAGUUACGCAAGCGUAUGCUUCCCCGACGUUGUUUUUAGCUCGGCACAUGUACUGGCCACUGUCCUCCAGGGUUAAGUCGUAGAUGGUGAUGCGGUAGAUAUCACCAUCAUUCACCAUCUUGAAGCGUCCCCCGGAGGUCAGUCUGAGCUUAUCCUUUUCCCAGGUAAUCAGCGGGGUGGGGUUGCCCACAAUAGUGCAGCUCAGGGUGGCAUCCUUGCCCACACACACCGCAAAGGCUUUGGGCCGGGUAAGGAACCUAGGUGCCCCUCCAAACAGGAAAGCGGUCAAAGAGCAAUAGGUCGGACUUGAACCCAUGCUGCAGCAGUACACCUACACCAGGGGCAGUGGCUUAGGCUGCUGGACACCCUAAGCCACCUGACGCUAAUAUUUGGACCGUCUCAGAAUCGUAGCGUAAACCUCUGAGGAUUUUAGUCCUGGCUGUAAUAUAUUCUCAGGAUAAGUCCUCCACGAGAGAAGGGGUGGAUAUCUAUGAUAGCUGGAGCGAGUUUGGCUGUGGAGGAACGAAUGCCUCGAAGCCUGAGCAGCAUCGCCCUGUACCUCCAUAAAAACUAGCUGAGGCGAUCAGCGGUCUGAAUGAAUAAUUCAAGAACAGAACCAUAGCAUUGAUGAACACUCCGCAGUGAAAGGAAAAGGUUGCCG
ensembl:lncRNA